ACGUAGGGGGCAAGCGUUAUCCGGAUUUACUGGGUGUAAAGGGAGCGUAGACGGCAAGGCAAGUCUGAUGUGAAAACCCAGGGCUUAACUCUGGGACUGCAUUGGAAACUGUCUGGCUCGAGUGCCGGAGAGGUAAGCGGAAUUCCUAGUGUAGCGGUGAAAUGCGUAGAUAUUAGGAAGAACACCAGUGGCGAAGGCGGCUUACUGGACGGUAACUGACGUUGAGGCUCGAAAGCGUGGGGAGCAAACAG
rnacentral:rRNA from 1 species